rnacentral:tRNA from 1 species
GGUGAGGUGCGAGAGCGGUUGAAUCGGGCGGUCUCGAAAACCGUUGAGCCUUCACGGGCUCCGUGGGUUCGAAUCCCACCCUCACCGCCA